rnacentral:rRNA from 1 species
GAUCCUGGCUCAGGAUGAAGCUAGCUACAGGCUUAACACAUGCAAGUCGAGGGGAAACGACGUCGAAAGCUUGCUUUUGAUGGGCGUCGACCGGCGCACGGGUGAGUAACGCGUAUCCAACCUGCCCAUCACUUGGGAAUAACCUUGCGAAAGUAAGACUAAUGCCCAAUGACAUCCCACGAAGGCAUCCGAAUGGGAUUAAAGAUUUAUCGGUGAUGGAUGGGGAUGCGUCUGAUUAG